rnacentral:rRNA from 1 species
AUUGAACGCUGGCGGCAGGCCUAACACAUGCCAGUCGAGCGGAUGAAGGGAGCUUGCUCCUGGAUUCAGCGGCGGACGGGUGAGUAAUGCCUAGGAAUCUGCCUGGUAGUGGGGGAUAACGUCCGGAAACGGGCGCUAAUACCGCAUACGUCCUGAGGGAGAAAGUGGGGGAUCUUCGGACCUCACGCUAUCAGAUGAGCCUAGGUCGGAUUAGCUAGUUGGUGGGGUAAAGGCCUACCAAGGCGACGAUCCGUAACUGGUCUGAGAGGAUGAUCAGCCACACUGGAACUGAGACACGGUCCAGACUCCUACGGGAGGCAGCAGUGGGGAAUAUUGGACAAUGGGCGAAAGCCUGAUCCAGCCAUGCCGCGUGUGUGAAGAAGGUCUUCGGAUUGUAAAGCACUUUAAGUUGGGAGGAAGGGCAGUAAGUUAAUACCUUGCUGUUUUGACGGUACCAACAGAAUAAGCACCGGCUAACUUCGUG